AAAUUACGAGCCCAAGCUUAAAACCCAAAGGACUUGACGGUGUUCCACCCACCUAGAGGAGCCUGUUCUAUAAUCGAUUUUCCCCGAUCAACCCCACCAUCUUUUGAAUAUUCAGCCUGUAUACCUCCGUCGCAAGCUUACCUUAUGAACGCACUUAGUGAGCCUAAUGAUUUAACACCCACACGUCAGGUCAAGGUGCAGCCCACAAGAUGGAGAGAAAUGGGCUACAAUUUCUACCCUAGAACAAACGAAAGACUGCAUGAAACACAGUUACUGAAGGCGGAUUUAGCAGUAAAAAGAAAAUAGAGAGUUCUUUUUAAUCAGGCACUGGAACGCGUACACACCGCCCGUCACCCUCUUCAAACACAAAUACUAUGUUAUUAACACUAUACACCCGCACAGAAGAGGUAAGUCGUAACACGGUAAGCGUACUGGAAAGUGCGCUUGGAACAACAAAAUGUAACUUAAUAAAAGUAUCUUGCUUACACCAAGAAUAUGUCUGUGAAACCCUGACCAUCUUGAGCUUAAAACUCAGCCCCACUAAACCCCAUGAAACCACAUUCUUACCCCCCCCCGCAAAUUAAAACAUUUUUUCACUUAGUAAAGGCGAUUAAAAAGUACUUGGGAGCCCCAAUAUUAGUACCGCAAGGG
rnacentral:rRNA from 1 species